AUUCACGGUGUCAACACGUAUAUUUUCGACCGCGGAAAUGAAUGAGGAAAAUUGUGAAAUUCCAGAAAACAUUGUGAAGAAAGCGCAAAAAGCCAAUGAAAAUGUGUUACCUGGAACAUCAGGAUCCAUAUAUGAAAAAGAAUACAAAAUUUUCCUUAAUUGGAAGAUUAAGAAGUGGCUUACUUCCAAGAAUUGUCAGAAAAAUAUUCACCCAGUUCCUUAUGGUGAAAAUACUCGAUGGUCAAGACAACUUUAAGAGUAAACGACAACAUAGACAUUUCUAAUUAUCAUGGUUUGACAUAUUUCUAUAAAAAACCCAAAAGGUUAUGUGGCAAAAAAAUCCCGAGUUUUGACUGGCGAACAAGUCAUGCAAUUUGUAAAAGAUGCUUCCGACAACAGAUAUUUACUUCAGAAGUAAAGGUAGUUGGAGGAUGAGUGAACACAAUUCAAGAUUUUUAUAUAAUACGUUAUUCGGUGCUAGCAGAAUGGAAGCAGAGGCAGAAAUAAUUCCAAUAGA